rnacentral:lncRNA from 1 species
UCUUCCUGCCAUUCGAAGGCAAAGAUCUCUUGGCUUGCGGGGGCAAGAGGCAAACUAAAAAAGGCAUCUUUUAAAUCUAAAACAGUGUACCAAAUGUAGUUUGGAGGCAAGUUGCUUAGCAAUGUAUAAGGGUUAGGAACCAUAGGAUGAAUAUCAUUCACCCGUUUGUUGACUUCUCAUAGAUCUUGAACCAGUCUAAAAUCAGUUCCCCCAGGCUUUUUUACAGGCAACAGGGGAGUGUUCCAUGGGGACCGGCAACUUUUCAGGACCCCAGUGUCUAUGAGGCAUUGUAUAUGAGGAGUAAUUCCUUGUCGAGCCUCCUGACUCAUGGGAUACUGUCGUACCCUGACUGGGGAAGCACUGGCUUUCAGUUCCACAAUGAUAGGGGGCCUCUGUUUGGCUAGUCCCAUUUCUGCAGUUUCAGCCCAGGCCUGAGGGUAUCUUUGAACCCAUGGUUGUACUUCGGGGCCUAUUGUCGCUGGGGCCUCUGGCAAGUAGAGUCUGUAUUCAUCUUUUAAUGCCAGAGACAAGACCUGAAGAGGAUGCCCGGUCCCAUCUAAAACCGACACUUGUCUGUGGUCGAAAUGAAUUUGGGCAUUUACUUUAGACAGUAAAUCCCUUCCCAACAAGGGCGCUGGACACUCAGGAUGUUCACAGAGCCAGCUGCCUCCCCAGCACGAAACCAGGCCCCGGCUUUACGCCGACUUAAUCCAGUAUCAGAGCCAGCUGCCUCCCCAGCAUGAAACUAGGCCCUGGCCUUACGCCGACUUAAUCCAGUAUCAGAGCCAGCUGCCUCCCCAGCACGAAACCAGGCCCCGGCCUUACGCUGACUUAAUCCAGUAUCAGAGCCAGCUGCCUCCCCAGCAUGAAACUAGGCCCCGGCCUUACGCUGACUUGCCUCUGCACUUUACAGCCAGAUGCCUCCCCAGUAAGAUACUAGGCCUCGGACUUAAUCUGGGCUUCUGCAACGUUAGCACCGGUGCUCAGAGCUCUUAUCUCCUAAUGAGGUUACUCCCUUCUACCAGGAGAGUUGUCCUCCCUGGCGGGACAGAGAUCCCGGACGAGCCCCCAGAUGUUAUGCUCCGAGCCCGUAUCUCCGAACCGACCGAGAGAGCAAGUCCACCACAGUAUUGCAAACGCAAGAAGGGAGUUUGUUUAUUCCUAGUGCACUAGGGCCCAAGUC